GGCGCUCACAGCGAGGUUACCCUUUGUGUAUUCGGUUUAUUGACGUGGAAUAUACAAGGGCAAGCUCUCUGUGAGCAUC
rnacentral:pre_miRNA from 1 species